UUACUCAUGUUAGGACGAGGUUCUCCUCCUGUUCCUAACAUGGCUGUGGGGACACAUAAGGGCCGUUGUAAGGGUCUCUCCCCCCAUCCAAUUUUUAAAUAAUCGAGCCUUCGACUUUGCUCAUGUUAGGAUGAGGUUCUCCUCCUGUUCCUAACAUGGCUGUGGGGGCACAUAAGGGCCGUUGUAAGGGCCUCUCCCCCCAUCCGAUCUUUAAGUAACCGGAC
rnacentral:lncRNA from 1 species